AUUUAAUUAAAGUUUUACCUAAUCAGGAACAACUGAGCACUAUGCCGGGAACAUCCUACCCUGGACUUACCAACGGUCUAACAAGAUUCCUGACCACUGGAGACAAAUUAAAGUGGACAGCUACUACCACUACUCAAAAGGAGUCAAGACAGUCAACAAUCAUUCCAACCACUACACCAGUCACUCCAAAAAGAGACAAAGAAAAAGUGACGGAAAUGGCAUCCGAAGAAACAGCCAGUAACUUUUUGAUAAAGCAAAUUAUGCAGAAUCCCGAGAUGCUGAAAGAAUAUCUGAAAUAUUUACAAAAGCCAAAAGAAGAAGACAAAAUAGAGGAACCAGCAGGAUCAUCCGAAUCUACUUUUGAUCCUUUUGAUGAUCCCAUCGGUGGACAAAAUCCAAACGACUUUUGAAAAAGAAUGUCGGCCACAACAAAUGAAAGCAAAAUUGAAAUUCAAAUAAAAAUGAAAUGCAGAAUCGAGCUUCUAUAAAUAGAUUCAAGAUUCAGAAGACAGGCAUCGGCAAAUAUCAGAAGUUGUAAUAGACUUGUCUAAGUUUUCCUACUACUCCCACUCACUCUUAGUUCUUCUACUAUUCCCACUCACUCUAAAUAACCAUUGUACUCAAAAGCCUUUGUAGAAGUGGAUUUCAUCAUUACAAUAAAGUUUCCAUUGUUGAAUUCAAGCUUCCGAUUGUGCACUCUCAAAAGUCAAGAACAACUGAGCACUAUGCCGGGAACAUCCUACCCUGGACUUACCAACGGUCUAACAAGAUUCCUGACCACUGGAGACAAAUUAAAGUGGACAGCUACUACCACUACUCAAAAGGAGUCAAGACAGUCAACAAUCAUUCCAACCACUACACCAGUCACUCCAAAAAGAGACAAAGAAAAAGUGACGGAAAUGGCAUCCGAAGAAACAGCCAGUAACUUUUUGAUAAAGCAAAUUAUGCAGAAUCCCGAGAUGCUGAAAGAAUAUCUGAAAUAUUUACAAAAGCCAAAAGAAGAAGACAAAAUAGAGGAACCAGCAGGAUCAUCCGAAUCUACUUUUGAUCCUUUUGAUGAUCCCAUCGGUGGACAAAAUCCAAACGACUUUUGAAAAAGAAUGUCGGCCACAACAAAUGAAAGCAAAAUUGAAAUUCAAAUAAAAAUGAAAUGCAGAAUCGAGCUUCUAUAAAUAGAUUCAAGAUUCAGAAGACAGGCAUCGGCAAAUAUCAGAAGUUGUAAUAGACUUGUCUAAGUUUUCCUACUACUCCCACUCACUCUUAGUUCUUCUACUAUUCCCACUCACUCUAAAUAACCAUUGUACUCAAAAGCCUUUGUAGAAGUGGAUUUCAUCAUUACAAUAAAGUUUCCAUUGUUGAAUUCAAGCUUCCGAUUGUGCACUCUCAAAAGUCAAGAACAACUGAGCACUAUGCCGGGAACAUCCUACCCUGGACUUACCAACGGUCUAACAAGAUUCCUGACCACUGGAGACAAAUUAAAGUGGACAGCUACUACCACUACUCAAAAGGAGUCAAGACAGUCAACAAUCAUUCCAACCACUACACCAGUCACUCCAAAAAGAGACAAAGAAAAAGUGACGGAAAUGGCAUCCGAAGAAACAGCCAGUAACUUUUUGAUAAAGCAAAUUAUGCAGAAUCCCGAGAUGCUGAAAGAAUAUCUGAAAUAUUUACAAAAGCCAAAAGAAGAAGACAAAAUAGAGGAACCAGCAGGAUCAUCCGAAUCUACUUUUGAUCCUUUUGAUGAUCCCAUCGGUGGACAAAAUCCAAACGACUUUUGAAAAAGAAUGUCGGCCACAACAAAUGAAAGCAAAAUUGAAAUUCAAAUAAAAAUGAAAUGCAGAAUCGAGCUUCUAUAAAUAGAUUCAAGAUUCAGAAGACAGGCAUCGGCAAAUAUCAGAAGUUGUAAUAGACUUGUCUAAGUUUUCCUACUACUCCCACUCACUCUUAGUUCUUCUACUAUUCCCACUCACUCUAAAUAACCAUUGUACUCAAAAGCCUUUGUAGAAGUGGAUUUCAUCAUUACAAUAAAGUUUCCAUUGUUGAAUUCAAGCUUCCGAUUGUGCACUCUCAAAAGUCAAGAACAACUGAGCACUAUGCCGGGAACAUCCUACCCUGGACUUACCAACGGUCUAACAAGAUUCCUGACCACUGGAGACAAAUUAAAGUGGACAGCUACUACCACUACUCAAAAGGAGUCAAGACAGUCAACAAUCAUUCCAACCACUACACCAGUCACUCCAAAAAGAGACAAAGAAAAAGUGACGGAAAUGGCAUCCGAAGAAACAGCCAGUAACUUUUUGAUAAAGCAAAUUAUGCAGAAUCCCGAGAUGCUGAAAGAAUAUCUGAAAUAUUUACAAAAGCCAAAAGAAGAAGACAAAAUAGAGGAACCAGCAGGAUCAUCCGAAUCUACUUUUGAUCCUUUUGAUGAUCCCAUCGGUGGACAAAAUCCAAACGACUUUUGAAAAAGAAUGUCGGCCACAACAAAUGAAAGCAAAAUUGAAAUUCAAAUAAAAAUGAAAUGCAGAAUCGAGCUUCUAUAAAUAGAUUCAAGAUUCAGAAGACAGGCAUCGGCAAAUAUCAGAAGUUGUAAUAGACUUGUCUAAGUUUUCCUACUACUCCCACUCACUCUUAGUUCUUCUACUAUUCCCACUCACUCUAAAUAACCAUUGUACUCAAAAGCCUUUGUAGAAGUGGAUUUCAUCAUUACAAUAAAGUUUCCAUUGUUGAAUUCAAGCUUCCGAUUGUGCACUCUCAAAAGUCAAGAACAACUGAGCACUAUGCCGGGAACAUCCUACCCUGGACUUACCAACGGUCUAACAAGGAACAACUGAGCACUAUGCCGGGAACAUCCUACCCUGGACUUACCAACGGUCUAACAAGAUUCCUGACCACUGGAGACAAAUUAAAGUGGACAGCUACUACCACUACUCAAAAGGAGUCAAGACAGUCAACAAUCAUUCCAACCACUACACCAGUCACUCCAAAAAGAGACAAAGAAAAAGUGACGGAAAUGGCAUCGAAGAAACAGCCAGUAACUUUUUGAUAAAGCAAAUUAUGCAGAAUCCCGAGAUGCUGAAAGAAUAUCUGAAAUAUUUACAAAAGCCAAAAGAAGAAGACAAAAUAGAGGAACCA